AUUGAACGCUGGCGGCAUGCCUUACACAUGCAAGUCGAACGGCAGCACGGGAGCAAUCCUGGUGGCGAGUGGCGAACGGGUGAGUAAAGCAUCGGAACGUACCUGGUAGUGGGGGAUAGCCCGGCGAAAGCCGGAUUAAUACCGCAUACGACCUGAGGGUGAAAGCGGGGGAUCGCAAGACCUCGCGCUAUUGGAGCGGCCGGUGUCAGAUUAGCUAGUGGGUGGGGUAAAGGCCUACCAAGGCGACGAUCUGUAGCUUGUCUGAGAGGACGACCAGCCACCAUGGGACUGAGACACGGCCCAGACUCCUACGGGAGGCAGCAGUGGGGAAUUUUGGACAAUGGGCGCAAGCCUGAUCCAGCCAUGCCGCGUGCGGGAAGAAGGCCUUCGGGUUGUAAACCGCUUUUGUCAGGGAAGAAAUCUUCUGGGUUAAUACCUCGGGAGGAUGACGGUACCUGAAGAAUAAGCACCGGCUAACUACGUGCCAGCCGCCGCAGUAAAAC
rnacentral:rRNA from 1 species